rnacentral:rRNA from 1 species
CCUACGGGAGGCAGCAGUGGGGAAUAUUGGGCAAUGGGCGAAAGCCUGACCCAGCAACGCCGCGUGAAGGAAGAAGGCUUUCGGGUUGUAAACUUCUUUUGACAGGGAAGAGCAGAAGACGGUACCUGUCGAAUAAGCCACGGCUAACUACGUGCCAGCAGCCGCGGUAAUACGUAGGUGGCAAGCGUUGUCCGGAUUUACUGGGUGUAAAGGGCGUGUAGCCGAGCUGACAAGUCAGAUGUGAAAUCCGGGGGCUCAACCCCCGAACUGCAUUUGAAACUGUUGGUCUUGAGUACAGUUGAGGUAGGCGGAAUUCGUGGUGUAGCGGUGAAAUGCAUAGAUAUCACGCAGAACCCCGAUUGCGAAGGCAGCCUUCCGGCGCCCUACUGACGCUGAGGCACGAAAGUGCGGGGAUCGAACAGGAUUAGAUACCCGGGUAGUC